UGGGGGAUAUUGCACAAUGGGCGAAAGCCUGAUGCAGCGACGCCGCGUGGGGGAUGAAGGCCUUCGGGUUGUAAACUUCUUUUGCUCUGAACAAGGCAUGCCUUUGGGGUGUGUUGAGUGUAGGGGUUGAUUAGCGCCGGCUAACUACGUGCCAGCAGCCGCGGUAAUACGUAGGGCGCGAGCGUUGUCCGGAAUUAUUGGGCGUAAAGGGCUUGUAGGUGGCUGGUUGCGUCUGUCGUGAAAGCUCAUGGCUUAACUGUGGGUUUGCGGUGGGUACGGGCUGGCUUGAGUGCAGUAGGGGAGGCUGGAAUUCCUGGUGUAGCGGUGGAAUGCGCAGAUAUCAGGAGGAAUACCGGUGGCGAAGGCGGGUCUCUGGGCUGUUACGGACGCUGAGGAGCGAAAGCGUGGGGAGCGAACAGG
rnacentral:rRNA from 1 species